UGCUGCCCCGUGCGAUGUUCAAAAAACGUCCUAGACGCCAUCUUGUGCCCCUCAGCCUGACUGCUCGGGAGCGGGGCUAGAUCCGACCAGUUUCCGUCCUAACCCGUCGCCAUUGAAGAAGUGUUUCCGCCUCAUCCACAUCUCCACCUCUAUACACAAUAUAAGAUGGAGUAUGUUGCGGUAUACGUUUUCAAUCGCAGACUGCGCAGAGAAAGGAGAUAUCGGGACCCACUUGACCCACUACACGUUAGUGAUGAACAUCUGUUGCGGGUGUAUAGAUUUCCCCGUCAAGAAAUCAUCAGGCUCUGUGAUGAGCUGCGUCCCCACCUGGAAAGGAGAACCAGGAGGGCACAUGCACUCCCAACUCACACCCAGGUUCUGGCUGCACUAAGGUUUUUUGCAAGUGGCAGCUUCCAAACUGUUAUUGGAGACACUGUUGGAAUGGACCAAUCAAGUGUUAGUAGGGCCAUUGACAAAGUAACUCAAGUACUUUGUGUAAAGGCCAGUCAAGAGAUAAAGAUGCCAACCACAGCAAUAGAUAUCAACAGAGCUAUGCAGGACUUCAGACGCACUGGUAACUUUCCAAGAGUGAUAGGUGCCAUUGAUGGAACCCACAUUCGCAUCAAGGCCCCAGAGGAAAAUGAAGAGAUUUAUGUCAACCGGAAACAAUUCCACUCCCUAAAUAUACAGGCUGUGGGUGACACCAACAACAAGAUCAUCAGCUACGACACCAGUUACCCAGGGAGCACACAUGAUUCCUUUAUAUGGAGACACUGUGCCCUUAAGCAGCGGUUCCUUGCUGGUCAUUUUGGAGAUGCUCUUUUAAUAGGAGACAGUGGGUAUCCUCUGGAGCCAUUCCUGAUGACCCCAGUUGUACCCGACAACA